GGCCUGGUUGGGCGGUCCGCUUAACGGCGUGUACUGUCUGACUGGGUCUUACCUCUUGGUGAGCCGGCGUGCCCUUUAUUGGCGUGCGUCGGGGAACCAGGACUUUUACUUUGAAAAAAUUAGAGUGUUCAAAACAAGCUUAUGCUUGAAUACAUUAGCAUGGAAUAACGGAAUAGGACU
rnacentral:rRNA from 1 species